AUUACUCCUACGGGAGGCAGCAGUGGGGAAUAUUGCACAAUGGGCGGAAGCCUGAUGCAGCAACGCCGCGUGCGCGAUGAAGGCCUUCGGGUUGUAAAGCUCUUUCAGUGGGGACGAUAAUGACGGUACCCACAGAAGAAGCCCCGGCUAACUUCGUGCCAGCAGCCGCGGUAAUAAUC
rnacentral:rRNA from 1 species